UCACUGUUCUUUUUAUUUUUUAUUUUUGAAACAAAUAUGAAUAUCGUCAUGUGUUCUAUUUUUAUGUUCAUUUGUGGCAAAAAAUUGCAUCAUGUCCUGUAUCUUUGAAACAAGUAUCAUGUGUUUUUUUUAUAUGAUAAAGUAUCAUGUGUUCUAUUUGGAUUGGUAUCACCAUCUAAAAAGGUUUAGCUAUGCAACAGAGCUUGUUGUCAGCUCGUCUUCGACUCAUGUGUAACUUUCUUUUGUUUGAAUUAUAUAUAAAAGUAUACGUGUUUUGAUUUAAUGUUUAUUUGCAAAAUGGACCCACUGCAAGCCAGUAGGAUUAGUCUGAUCGGCUGCAGUUAGUAAAGUGACACAGUCCUGUUUCGGUGUCUGUUCGAUCAAGAUCAGACGAUCCUGAUUUGAGUUAGUGACUGAAGUGAAUUUGAUUUCGAUUGGAAAAAAUGGAUCCGCUGCAUCAGGCUUUACAGUGCAUCUCACAAUAAAGCCAGCUGUAGAGAAUUGAUGUUUGUUCAUUUGGGCCGGGAAACAUUUCAUCAUACCCUAUGUAUUUGAUCAUGGUUUUAAAUU